UGAACGCUAGCUACAGGCUUAACACAUGCAAGUCGAGGGGCAGCAUGGUCUUAGCUUGCUAAGGCCGAUGGCGACCGGCGCACGGGUGAGUAACACGUAUCCAACCUGCCGUCUACUCUUGGACAGCCUUCUGAAAGGAAGAUUAAUACAAGAUGGCAUCAUGAGUCCGCAUGUUUACAUGAUUAAAGGUAUUCCGGUAGACGAUGGGGAUGCGUUCCAUUAGAUAGUAGGCGGGGUAACGGCCCACCUAGUCUUCGAUGGAUAGGGGUUCUGAGAGGAAGGUCCCCCACAUUGGAACUGAGACACGGUCCAAACUCCUACGGGAGGCAGCAGUGAGGAAUAUUGGUCAAUGGGCGAGAGCCUGGACCAGCCAAGUAGCGUGAAGGAUGACUGCCCUAUGGGUUGUAAACUUCUUUUAUAAAGGAAUAAAGUCGGGUAUGGAUACCCGUUUGCAUGUACUUUAUGAAUAAGGAUCGGCUAACUCCGUGCCAGCAGCCGCGGUAAUACGGAGGAUCCGAGCGUUAUCCGGAUUUAUUGGGUUUAAAGGGAGCGUAGAUGGAUGUUUAAGUCAGUUGUGAAAGUUUGCGGCUCAACCGUAAAAUUGCAGUUGAUACUGGAUAUCUUGAGUGCAGUUGAGGCAGGCGGAAUUCGUGGUGUAGCGGUGAAAUGCUUAGAUAUCACGAAGAACUCCGAUUGCGAAGGCAGCCUGCUAAGCUGCAACUGACAUUGAGGCUCGAAAGUGUGGGUAUCAAACAGGAUUAGAUACCCUGGUAGUCCACACGGUAAACGAUGAAUACUCGCUGUUUGCGAUAUACUGCAAGCGGCCAAGCGAAAGCGUUAAGUAUUCCACCUGGGGAGUACGCCGGCAACGGUGAAACUCAAAGGAAUUGACGGGGGCCCGCACAAGCGGAGGAACAUGUGGUUUAAUUCGAUGAUACGCGAGGAACCUUACCCGGGCUUAAAUUGCAGAUGAAUUACGGUGAAAGCCGUAAGCCGCAAGGCAUCUGUGAAGGUGCUGCAUGGUUGUCGUCAGCUCGUGCCGUGAGGUGUCGGCUUAAGUGCCAUAACGAGCGCAACCCUUGUUGUCAGUUACUAACAGGUUCCGCUGAGGACUCUGACAAGACUGCCAUCGUAAGAUGUGAGGAAGGUGGGGAUGACGUCAAAUCAGCACGGCCCUUACGUCCGGGGCUACACACGUGUUACAAUGGGGGGUACAGAGGGCCGCUACCACGCGAGUGGAUGCCAAUCCCCAAAACCUCUCUCAGUUCGGACUGGAGUCUGCAACCCGACUCCACGAAGCUGGAUUCGCUAGUAAUCGCGCAUCAGCCACGGCGCGGUGAAUACGUUCCCGGGCCUUGUACACACCGCCCGUCAAGCCAUGGGAGCCGGGGGUACCUGAAGUGCGUAACCGCGAGGAGCGCCCUAGGGUAAAACUGGUGAC
rnacentral:rRNA from 1 species